GGACGAACGCUGGCGGCGUGCUUAACACAUGCAAGUCGAGCGGUAAGGCCCUUUCGGGGUACACGAGCGGCGAACGGGUGAGUAACACGUGGGUGACCUGCCCUCAGCUCUGGGAUAAGCCUGGGAAACCGGGUCUAAUACUGGAUAUGACUCCAUGACGCAUGUUGUGGGGUGGAAAGCCUUGUGCGGCUGAGGAUGGGCCCGCGGCCUAUCAGCUUGUUGGUGGGGUGAUGGCCUACCAAGGCGACGACGGGUAGCCGGCCUGAGAGGGCGACCGGCCACACUGGGACUGAGACACGGCCCAGACUCCUACGGGAGGCAGCAGUCGGGGAAUCUUGCGCAAUGGGCGAAAGCCUGACGCAGCGACG
rnacentral:rRNA from 1 species